rnacentral:rRNA from 1 species
GAACGGCAGCGGGGGAGCUUGCUCCUGCCGGUGAGUGGCGAACGGGUGAGUAAUGCAUCGGAACGUGUCCUGUUGUGGGGGAUAACUGAUCGAAAGAUCAGCUAAUACCGCAUGAGACCUGAGGGUGAAAGCGGGGGAUCGCAAGACCUCGCGCGACAGGAGCGGCCGAUGUCUGAUUAGCUAGUUGGUGAGAUAAAAGCUUACCAAGGCGACGAUCAGUAGCUGGUCUGAGAGGAUGAUCAGCCACAUUGGGACUGAGACACGGCCCAGACUCCUACGGGAGGCAGCAGUGGGGAAUUUUGGACAAUGGGGGAAACCCUGAUCCAGCCAUGCCGCGUGCGGGAUGAAGGCCUUCGGGUUGUAAACCGCUUUUGUCAGAGACGAAAAGGGACGUACGAAUAAUACGUUCCGCUGACGGUAUCUGAAGAAUAAGCACCGGCUAACUACGUGCCAGCAGCCGCGGUAAUACGUAGGGUGCAAGCGUUAAUCGGAAUUACUGGGCGUAAAGGGUGCGCAGGCGGCUGUGCAGGACAGAUGUGAAAUCCCCGGGCUUAACCUGGGAACUGCAUUUGUGACUGCACGGCUAGAGUUUGUCAGAGGAGGGUGGAAUUCCGCGUGUAGCAGUGAAAUGCGUAGAUAUGCGGAAGAACACCAAUGGCGAAGGCAGCCCUCUGGGACAUGACUGACG